rnacentral:rRNA from 1 species
CCUACGGGUGGCAGCAGUGAGGAAUAUUGGUCAAUGGGCGCGAGCCUGAACCAGCCAAGUAGCGUGAAGGAUGACGGCCCGACGGGAGGUAAAAUGCGGUUAUAAAGGAAUAAAGUGAGGCACGUGUGCCUUUUUGUAUGUACUUUAUGAAUAAGGAUCGGCUAACUCCGUGCCAGCAGCCGCGGUAAUACGGAGGAUCCGAGCGUUAUCCGGAUUUAUUGGGUUUAAAGGGAGCGUAGUUGGGUUGUUAAGUCAGUUGUGAAGAUUUUCGGCUCAACCGUAAAAUUGCAAUUGAUACUGGCAGCCUUGAGUUCAGUUGAGGUAGGCGUAAUUCGUGGUGUAGCGGUGACAUGCUUAUAUCUCAC